AUUGAACGCUGGCGGAAUGCUUUACACAUGCAAGUCGAACGGCAGCACGGACUUCGGUCUGGUGGUGAGUGGCGAACGGGUGAGUAAUGUAUCGGAACGUGCCCAGUCGUGGGGGAUAACGUAGUGAAAAUUACGCUAAUACCGCAUACGAUCUAUGGAUGAAAGCGGGGGAUCGCAAGACCUCGCGCGAUUGGAGCGGCCGAUAUCAGAUUAGGUAGUUGGUGGGGUAAAGGCCCACCAAGCCAACGAUCUGUAGCUGGUCUGAGAGGACGACCAGCCAAACUGGAACUGAGACACGGUCCAGACUCCUACGGGAGGCAGCAGUGGGGAAUUUUGGACAAUGGGCGAAAGCCUGAUCCAGCCAUUCCGCGUGCAGGAUGAAGGCCCUCGGGUUGUAAACUGCUUUCGUACAGAACGAAAAGGUUUCUACUAAUACUAGGAGCUCAUGACGGUACUGUAAGAAUAAGCACCGGCUAACUACGUGCCAGCCGCCGCAGUAA
rnacentral:rRNA from 1 species